GACGAACGCUGGCGGCGUGCUUAACACAUGCAAGUCGAACGGACAGACAGAGAGCUUGCUCUCUUGAAGUUAGUGGCGAACGGGUGAGUAACGCGUAAUCAACCUGCCCUUCAGAGGGGGAUAACAACGGGAAACCGUUGCUAAUACCGCGUACGAUUCAUAGACGGCAUCGUUUGUGAAUGAAAGGUGGCCUCUAUUUAUAAGCUAUCGCUGAAGGAGGGGAUUGCGUCUGAUUAGCUAGUUGGAGGGGUAACGGCCCACCAAGGCAAUGAUCAGUAGCCGGUCUGAGAGGAUGAACGGCCACAUUGGGACUGAGACACGGCCCAAACUCCUACGGGAGGCAGCAGUGGGGAAUCUUCCGCAAUGGACGAAAGUCUGACGGAGCAACGCCGCGUGAGUGAUGAAGGUCUUCGGAUUGUAAAGCUCUGUUAAUCGGGACGAAAGAGUUCUGUGUAAAUAAUGCAGAAAAGUGACG
rnacentral:rRNA from 1 species